UACGUAGGGUGCAAGCGUUGUCCGGAAUUAUUGGGCGUAAAGAGCUCGUAGGUGGUUUGUCGCGUUGUUCGUGAAAACCGGGGGCUUAACCCUCGGCGUGCGGGCGAUACGGGCAGACUGGAGUACUGCAGGGGAGACUGGAAUUCCUGGUGUAGCGGUGGAAUGCGCAGAUAUCAGGAGGAACACCGGUGGCGAAGGCGGGGUCUCUGGGCAGUAACUGACGCUGAGGAGCGAAAGCGUGGGGAGCGAACAGG
rnacentral:rRNA from 1 species